rnacentral:lncRNA from 1 species
GUCCACCCACGGAUUGGGACUGGGGAUGGGGACAGGAGUACAGGUUCAUGUUCAUUUGGCACACUGUAGCAAAAUGUUUUGCAACCGGAAACUAAAACGAGCAUUUUUUAUUGGACAAGUUCAGUAUGUGUCUUUCAAAUCUGAGGACAAGUGUCUCCUGUCGCCUUCUUCACCAUAGAACAUUGUUGAUUCCACCCCUUUUUCAGGACAAGAUAGACAGAUGGUCGCAUGCGGUUGGACACAUGGAGGAGAGAAUCAUUUUCGCAGUUUCCUCAAAACCGUGUCUUUUUGACACUACUGCUGACAGCUACAGGGACAUAAACACAACAAAAAUUAUGCUUGGAGACAAGUGUCCAUGAUAGUAGGAUUGCCAGGUCAGUUUAGUAGUGAGCUUGUGCUAGAUGUGGCUAGUUAACGUGACCCACAACAAUGGGUCCUGGAGAAGACUAGCCUACCUUCAUCAGAGCAGAAGGCACCCCAAUUUUCUUUUCAUUUGGUAACAUUGCA